rnacentral:rRNA from 1 species
ACGGGGGGGGCAAGCGUUGUUCGGAAUUACUGGGCGUAAAGGGCGCGUAGGCGGUCUGUUAAGUCGGAUGUGAAAACUCUGGGCUCAACCCAGAGCCUGCAUCCGAAACUGGCAGGCUAGAGUUCUGGAGGGGGUAGCGGAAUUCCUGGUGUAGCGGUGAAAUGCGUAGAUAUCAGGAGGAACACCGGUGGCGAAGGCGGCUACCUGGACAGAAACUGACGCUGAGGCGCGAAAGCCAGGGGAGCAAACGGGA